GUCCGCACAAGCGGUGGAGCAUGUGGUUUAAUUCGAUGCAACGCGAAGAACUUUACCUACUUUGACAUCCAGAGAACUUAGCAGAGAUGUUUUGGUGCCUUCGGGAAGUCUGAGACAGGUGCUGCAUGGCUGUCGUCAGCUCGUGUUGUGAAAUGUUGGGUUAAGUCCCGCAACGAGCGCAACCCUUAUCCUUUGUUGCCAGCGGUCCGGCCGGGAACUCAAAGGAGACUGCCAGUGAUAAACUGGAGGAAGGUGGGGAUGACGUCAAGUCAUCAUGGCCCUUACGAGUAGGGCUACACACGUGCUACAAUGGCGCAUACAAAGAGAAGCGACCUCGCGAGAGCAAGCGGACCUCAUAAAGUGCGUCGUAGUCCGGAUUGGAGUCUGCAACUCGACUCCAUGAAGUCGGAAUCGUUAGUAAUCGUGGAUCAGAAUGCCACGGUGAAUACGUUCCCGGGCCUUGUACACACCGCCCGUCACACCAUGGGAGUGGGUUGCAAAAGAAGUAGGUAGCUUAACCUUCGGGAGGGCGCUUACCACUUUGUGAUUCAUGACUGGGGUGAAGUCGA
rnacentral:rRNA from 1 species